rnacentral:rRNA from 1 species
AGAACGAACGCUGGCGGCAUGCCUAACACAUGCAAGUCGAACGCUCUUGGGAUUUCGGUCUCAAGGGAGUGGCGCACGGGUGAGUAGCGCGUGGGAACCUGCCCUGUUGUGGGGGAUAACCGAGGGAAACUUCGGCUAAUACCGCAUAAGCCGGCUGUCUUGCGAAAGAUGGCCGGGAAAGAUUUAUCGCGACAGGAGGGGCCCGCGUCGGAUUAGGUAGUUGGUGGGGUAACGGCCCACCAAGCCUGUGAUCCGUAGCUGGUCUGAGAGGAUGAUCAGCCACACUGGGACUGAGACACGGCCCAGACUCCUACGGGAGGCAGCAGUGGGGAAUAUUGGACAAUGGGCGCAAGCCUGAUCCAGCAAUGCCGCGUGAGUGAUGAAGGCCUUAGGGUUGUAAAGCUCUUUCGCCCGCGACGAUGAUGACGGUAGCGGGAGAAGAAGCCCGGCUAACUUCGCGCCAGCAGCCGCGGU